UGUGAGCUCGAUGAGUAGGGCGGGACACGUGGUAUCCUGUCUGAAUAUGGGGGGACCAUCCUCCAAGGCUAAAUACUCCUGACUGACCGAUAGUGAACCAGUACCGUGAGGGAAAGGCGAAAAGAACCCCGGCGAGGGGAGUGAAAAAGAACCUGAAACCGUGUACGUACAAGCAGUGGGAGCACGCUUAGGCGUGUGACUGCGUACCUUUUGUAUAAUGGGUCAGCGACUUAUAUUCUGUAGCAAGGUUAACCGAAUAGGGGAGCCGAAGGGAAACCGAGUCUUAACUGGGCGUUAAGUUGCAGGGUAUAGACCCGAAACCCGGUGAUCUAGCCAUGGGCAGGUUGAAGGUUGGGUAACACUAACUGGAGGACCGAACCGACUAAUGUUGAAAAAUUAGCGGAUGACUUGUGGCUGGGGGUGAAAGGCCAAUCAAACCGGGAGAUAGCUGGUUCUCCCCGAAAGCUAUUUAGGUAGCGCCUCGUGAAUUCAUCUCCGGGGGUAGAGCACUGUUUCGGCAAGGGGGUCAUCCCGACUUACCAACCCGAUGCAAACUGCGAAUACCGGAGAAUGUUAUCACGGGAGACACACGGCGGGUGCUAACGUCCGUCGUGAAGAGGGAAACAACCCAGACCGCCAGCUAAGGUCCCAAAGUCAUGGUUAAGUGGGAAACGAUGUGGGAAGGCCCAGACAGCCAGGAUGUUGGCUUAGAAGCAGCCAUCAUUUAAAGAAAGCGUAAUAGCUCACUGGUCGAGUCGGCCUGCGCGGAAGAUGUAACGGGGCUAAACCAUGCACCGAAGCUGCGGCAGCGACGCUUAUGCGUUGUUGGGUAGGGGAGCGUUCUGUAAGCCUGCGAAGGUGUGCUGUGAGGCAUGCUGGAGGUAUCAGAAGUGCGAAUGCUGACAUAAGUAACGAUAAAGCGGGUGAAAAGCCCGCUCGCCGGAAGACCAAGGGUUCCUGUCCAACGUUAAUCGGGGCAGGGUGAGUCGACCCCUAAGGCGAGGCCGAAAGGCGUAGUCGAUGGGAAACAGGUUAAUAUUCCUGUACUUGGUGUUACUGCGAAGGGGGGACGGAGAAGGCUAUGUUGGCCGGGCGACGGUUGUCCCGGUUUAAGCGUGUAGGCUGGUUUUCCAGGCAAAUCCGGAAAAUCAAGGCUGAGGCGUGAUGACGAGGCACUACGGUGCUGAAGCAACAAAUGCCCUGCUUCCAGGAAAAGCCUCUAAGCAUCAGGUAACAUCAAAUCGUACCCCAAACCGACACAGGUGGUCAGGUAGAGAAUACCAAGGCGCUUGAGAGAACUCGGGUGAAGGAACUAGGCAAAAUGGUGCCGUAACUUCGGGAGAAGGCACGCUGAUAUGUAGGUGAAGUCCCUCGCGGAUGGAGCUGAAAUCAGUCGAAGAUACCAGCUGGCUGCAACUGUUUAUUAAAAACACAGCACUGUGCAAACACGAAAGUGGACGUAUACGGUGUGACGCCUGCCCGGUGCCGGAAGGUUAAUUGAUGGGGUCAGCGCAAGCGAAGCUCUUGAUCGAAGCCCCGGUAAACGGCGGCCGUAACUAUAACGGUCCUAAGGUAGCGAAAUUCCUUGUCGGGUAAGUUCCGACCUGCACGAAUGGCGUAAUGAUGGCCAGGCUGUCUCCACCCGAGACUCAGUGAAAUUGAACUCGCUGUGAAGAUGCAGUGUACCCGCGGCAAGACGGAAAGACCCCGUGAACCUUUACUAUAGCUUGACACUGAACAUUGAGCCUUGAUGUGUAGGAUAGGUGGGAGGCUUUGAAGUGUGGACGCCAGUCUGCAUGGAGCCGACCUUGAAAUACCACCCUUUAAUGUUUGAUGUUCUAACGUGGACCCGUAAUCCGGGUUGCGGACAGUGUCUGGUGGGUAGUUUGACUGGGGCGGUCUCCUCCUAAAGAGUAACGGAGGAGCACGAAGGUUGGCUAAUCCUGGUCGGACAUCAGGAGGUUAGUGCAAUGGCAUAAGCCAGCUUGACUGCGAGCGUGACGGCGCGAGCAGGUGCGAAAGCAGGUCAUAGUGAUCCGGUGGUUCUGAAUGGAAGGGCCAUCGCUCAACGGAUAAAAGGUACUCCGGGGAUAACAGGCUGAUACCGCCCAAGAGUUCAUAUCGACGGCGGUGUUUGGCACCUCGAUGUCGGCUCAUCACAUCCUGGGGCUGAAGUAGGUCCCAAGGGUAUGGCUGUUCGCCAUUUAAAGUGGUACGCGAGCUGGGUUUAGAACGUCGUGAGACAGUUCGGUCCCUAUCUGCCGUGGGCGCUGGAGAAUUGAGGGGGGCUGCUCCUAGUACGAGAGGACCGGAGUGGACGCAUCACUGGUGUUCGGGUUGUCAUGCCAAUGGCACUGCCCGGUAGCUAAAUGCGGAAGAGAUAAGUGCUGAAAGCAUCUAAGCACGAAACUUGCCCCGAGAUGAGUUCUCCCUGACUCCUUGA
rnacentral:rRNA from 1 species